UCCCAAAGUAAGGAUGUGUUUCCUUUUGUGACACAGACACACAACUAGCUGUUUACAUGCUAGCAACUUAUAGGCUCUGUGGCAGUAAGACUUAUUCUCAGCAGGGUCCCUCUAGGACAGACCAGUGGGCUAGCUGAAUCAUGACUGGUUUAGGAGACCAGUUCUUUCUCUGUCAUCAGGUUGGCCUGGACACAAAUUUAGAAAUGGAAAGAGCUUCAGGUCCUGGAAAUGCAAGAGGAGGUGACCUGGAUGUUCUGGGCUGUACUCUCCUCAGUAGAAGGUCCAAAGACUGUCUCUGUGUAUCAGCAGAGUGUCUGGGGUUUGCUCAUCUCCUUUAUGGGCAACUUCUGUCCUACGCUCAGGCUGCAGCAGAAAUGCUGACCAGGCACCCAGGUGCAGAUGGGCUCUGACCUCCAGGCUGCAAGGUUGAUCAUCCCAACCCUGCUCACUGUGGUGUCCCUUCACAUCGGGGCUCCAGCCCGUGCAAGCUAAGAACUCAAGCACUAUAUUGAACAAGCAUGGAGAGAGUGGACAUCCUUGUCUUUGUUCCUGACACAGAGAAGUCGAAUUGGUGCCUAGCUGGAAGUUUCACCCGUCCUGACCAGUGUUCAUCGUACUAGAAGGCACUCUGCAUACUACCAGAGGAAGGCAAUCAGCAGUACCACCCAGCUACAAGCCCUGUGACCUACAACAGCAACCUACUUGUAAGAUACACUGGCACAAUCGUGGCACAGAUGUUAUGGGAGUGACCAACCACCUGUCUAUUGCAUUUACGGUCCAUCGCUGUAGUAAUGGCCAGUUAAAUACUCAAAUUGGUCCUGGUGAUGGCGGCAGAGCUCUUCGCUACCUGCCCCGAUGUUUUCGGUUUUUGAAUCACACACACACACGCACACACACACACACACACACACACACACACACACACACACACAGCCUUUAUUCUUUGAUAUGUCUGAAAUAGCUCAAUGGUUGGGCCACUUCCUAACCUCUAUGUGGCUAGUCUACCUUUCUCCCAUAUUCCCAAACCAUUACUUACUAAGAUCUGUAGUCUAUCUUUGCUGCCCCGGACCCAGUCAGGCAGCCCUCUUGGGGCCAUUCUUCCCCAGCUCCUACAUGGCAGCUAUAUUCUCUGUCCUGUACCUUCUCAGUCACGGUGUCUUUCCUUUCCUUCUCCUGGUGUAGAGGAUCUCUUCCUUCCUCUUUCUCUCUGUCCCUUGUCCAGGGAAUCCUAAAACUCUCUCCUCUGUCUCUCAGCUCAGCCAUUGGCCUCUGGCAACUUUAUUUAUUAAUCCAAACCAACUGGGGGCAGGGUUCCCCCAGUGUCUUAUGUGCAGAUGUCUGGAUUCUCGUGUAAUUUUGGGGACACAAAUUAAAACAAUACACGCAGCAUUAGACCAAACCCACCACACACUGUAGGCAUACAUUUUCUCAACCGACUUUAAUAAGUGUUCAGCCUCCCCUCUAGCCCACCACUCACCAGAGGUGGUGGAAAAGAAAGGUUUUUAGGACACGGGGGAAGUAGACUGGUUUAGAAAUAGUUCUCUGGGGGUGAGUCCAAUCUUCAUUGUCAGGAUAUCAGUAGUUCAGCCCAAUAGUACACACUAACUAUGAACCAGCAGCUUCAGUCCACUUGGCAGUCACCACCCGUGAACCAGCACCUGUAGCUCAAUCCAGAAGAAACCGCAAGGCUCUUCCACCAGCCCGAGGCUGUGGAAGUGGCAAGAAGCCAUAGGAACCUCAGAGAAGUCCUUUGUGAGCCAAUCCAUGCAUCUCAUUAGCAAAGAAUAGGGAGGCGGGGCAAAGCAAACCAGUGCUGUGGCUCCCACUGUCUGUGGGGUCAUAUCUAUAUCCCUUCUUAACAUCAUGUGCCCUUUCAUAUGUUUUCUAUAGCAAAACAUCCUUCCACCUGUGUCUGAUUCAGGAAAACAUUCUUGCACGUGUCUGCUUUAGCAAAAAAAAAAAAAAAAAAAAAAUCCUUUCACCUGUGUGUCCCAGCAAAACAUCAUUUGAUACAAUUGACUUUCCAAAGGUAACAGAAGUUUCUACUUCAGUCCACUCCAUUAAGUGGAACCUAUACCUGGCGUUGCUAAACUGUCCAAGGAACACCAGGCUAAUUAGGUCACGGGCCCAGGGGAAACCCCAAUACAAUUAUUCUGCUAAAGGGGUGUACCAAUAACGUGACCCCUAAUGGCUCACUGCUAUGCUUAGAGAUCAGUGCCUGGCUCAACCCAUAUCAGGGAAGCUUCCUGCAGUAGAUGGGAACGGAUACAGAGAUUCACAACCGGAAACUAUGCAGAAAGUGAGGGACUUUAAAGCACUGAGCGCCGAAUGGGAUGUCUUCAUCAAUCUCCUCCCCUCAGGGCCAGGGAUCUGUGAAGAAGAGGAGGCCAGAGGUUGUUAGAGCCAGGGGCAGUGGAUUACUCAGAGAAAGCAGUGUCUUUCAGACUCAAAAGGACCAAGGCACUUAUGGCCUCCCAGUGACUGUUGGCAUGCACAAGGCCUGCACAGGUCCAAGUCGGCCAGAGUCACAGGACUCAGAGGGGGAAUUGGACACGGGUUUCAGCCCUAACCAAGAAGCUGUUUGCAAUUGAUAUCUGAUGGCAGGGAAAAUCAGUUCUCUUCCGUGGAGUACCACAGGGUGUAACAACCACACUCCAGGUCAUGCCCAGGAUAGUUGGCUAACACAAAAUGAACUCAGCUGCAUGGUUUGGGUUUGUUUUGAGCUCCUUUUCCCUCUUCAAGACAGGGUUUCUCUGUGUCGCCCUGGCUGUCCUGGAACUCUCUCUGUAGACCAGGCUGGCCUCGAACUCACAGAGAUCCGCCUGCCUCUGCUUCCAAAGUGUGAGAUCAAAGGCGUGCGCCGCCACCGCCUGGCUUUGCUUGGGUAUUUUUGUCUUAAUGUUUGUUUUUGUGGGUUUUUAGUAAUCUUUUUGUUUUGUUUGUGAGAGAUAGGGUAGCCAUUUUAAAUCCCCACCCUGGGUUUCCACCCUGCCUUAGACCAUUGAGUUCCCAGAUAAAAUACACACAACUUUUAUAUUCAGAAUAAGCCUUAAUCAGGACUAGAGGUGGGCAGAUAAUUACCCUCUAAUCCGUUGGAAUCUAUUUUCCUAUCAAUAACCCUGAAUUACUACUUACUACUUACUGUAUGUUUCAUGUGGGCUGCUCUUAACUCCAAUUGGCCAGCCUUCAGGACCACAUUUUUAUGGCUCACCUAACCCAUGGCGGCUUCUCCUUCUUCCUCCUGCACCUUGUUCUUCCUCCUGAUUCUCCUCUGACCCCAAGCCCAGGAAACGUAAACCUUACCUAUGUCUCUUCUGCCAGCUAUUGGUUGUUGGCAUCUUUCUUGAUCAACAGAAAUAACUUGGGGGCGGGGUCACAGAGUCACUUGGGUCUACCUGCAGACUCCAGGCUUGGGGCUCUGCCCUUAGCAUUAAAAUAGACAGCAAAGCCAAACCUCAGAGUGGGAGGAGAGAAAGAGAGCUGGGCAUGGAGAUGGGAAGGGUCUUGGAGAAGUUGGGAGAGGAGAGAACAUAAUGUAUAAAAGUUUUCAAAAUUAAAAAAAUAUAUGAAGCGAGAGAGGGUUGUACACAGCAUGGGUUUGUAUACUUAGCUGAUGAGAUUUUCAUGAGGGACCUAAAGAUAAUCUGGGCAGGUGGGUGUGUUUAUAUGUCUUCCCUAAAGUCUAUAAAGCAAGUUAUAUAACAUAUACAACCUGAAGUGUAUUUAGAACAACUCAAAUAUACACUUCAGUGGUAUUAAUUACAUUAGGAUGCUGUGCCCUGUCACAACUCUUUCUAGAAUUUGUCAUCACAACAGGCUUUCUGUUGCCAGGAAACAGUGACACCCUAUGGCUGCCCUAUUUCAGCCCCUGCAAACCUGGAAUUGACUUGCCGCUUAUGACUUUGUAUAUUUUUUAUAUUUUAUUUAUUUGUAAUUAUAUAACGAAUCCCAUUUCGUUUCUGACUUAUUUCACUCAGGUGUUUUUAGAUAGGCUUAAGUUGCAGACUGCAUCUGAACUUUGUCUCUUAUUUUUUAAAAAUUUAUUUAUUUUAUGUGAGUGCACUGUCGCUGUCUUCAGACACACCAGAAGAGAGCAUCAGAUCCCGUUACAGAUGGUUGUGAGCCACCGUGUGGUUGCUGGGAAUUGAACUCAGGACCUCUGGAAGAGCAGUCAGUGCUCUUAACCACUGAGCCAUCUCUUUAGCCAGAACUUUUUUAAAAAAUUUAUUCCCUUCUCAUACAUUACACCCCGACUGCAGUUUCCUCUCUUCCCAGUCCCCUCCCUACCUCUAUCCCCCAGAUCCAUUCUUCCUCCAUCUCCCUUCAGAGCAGUGCAGGCCUUCCAGGGAUAUCAACCAAACACAGCAUAACAAGUUACAGUAAGACUGGCACAGACUCUAAUAUCAGGGCUGGGCAAGGCAACCAGUAGGAGGAAAAUGGUCCCCAGAGUAGGCAAUAGAGUCAGAGACACCCUCACUUUCACUGUGAGGAGUCCCAAAGGAAUCCAAAGCUACCCAAAGCUAGGUCAGACUCAUGUAGGCUCCCUGAUUUUCAAUUCAGUCUCUGUGAGCCCCUGUGAGCCCUGGUUAGUUGAUACUGUGGGCCGUGUUCUCACGGUCUUCUCAACCCCUGUCUCCUACAAUCUUCCCUCCCCUACUUCUUCAAGAUUUUCCUUCCCUCCUUCCUAUCUAUCUAUCUAUCUAUCUAUCUAUCCAUCCAUCCAUGCAUAGAGUGUACUUUGAUGAAAUCACCCUCCUAUUUUACCCCCCCAUCCUUCCUUUGUUUGCCCCCUUUACCUCUCUGUGUCUCUGUCAGGCACCUCUGCUCUCACCUCCUUCCCACCCUGUAUGUUCUAUGAAUGAGGGAGAAUUUUUGAGACGUGUCUGAGUAUGGCUUAUUUUGCUUAAUGUUUUGUUCUCUAGUUUCAUCUAGUUCUCUGCAAAUGAUGCAAUUUCCGUCUUUUUGGCUGAAUGAUACCCCAUUGUGAAUAUAUUCCACAUUUUCACUUAAAAACUACCUAUUUACUAGUCAAUUGAUUGAUUGAUCAAUGUAUGUGCACAUACAUGUGUGCGUGCAUGCAUGCGUGUGGGUACAUCUAGAUCCCAGUGCCUUACAAAUGCAGGACAAGCACUGCACCACUGAGUUAUAUUCAUAGCCCUCAUAAUUUAAUAUUUUUGUACUGAUGUAGGGAGUCUGGUUUUGUUGCUCAGCAUGGCUUCAGAUUACCAGGCUUCAGCAAUCUUCUCUCUUCAGCCCCCUGGGUAGCUGAAAUUACAGCUGGUUGCAAGUGGAUGUGGGUAAAUGAGUGCAUUUAUGUGAUAAUCCCCCUGAGUAGGUUAUAAAAUAUUUCCAUCACUACGAAGUUCGAGUCCCCUCGAAGUUAAUUCCACUCUUAGGUUUGAAUUCUCAGCAUCAUUGAUUACACCUGUCUAUGAAUUGCACACAUGAAUGCACACACACAGGUACACACACACACACACACACGAAAUGAGAAGAUGGUCUUGAGAGUUGUGGUGGACAGAGCAAGGUCACUCAGUGGUGACCAUUAUAAAGGCUGGGGGUGGAGUAUGUGUCAAGUCCUAAAUAUGUGUGUUCAACCCUGCAUAAGUCUCUCCACUAUGGCAAAGACUUAAGGCAUUUAAGUGGUGUUCCUUUGUAUCCAGCUUGUUUUGAAUGAUAUAUUUUCAGAGUCCAUAUUUUUUAUCUUUAUUAACUUGAGUAUUUCUUAUUUACAUUUCGAUUGUUAUUCCCCUUCCCGGUUUCCGGGCCAACAUCCCCCUAACCCCUCCCCCUCCCCUUCUAUAUGGGUGUUCCCCUCCCCAUCCUCCCCGAAUUACCACCUUCCCCCAAACAAUCACGUUCACUAGGGGUUCAGUCUUGGCAGGACCAAGGGCUUCCCCUUCCACUGGUGCUCUUACUAGGCUAUUCAUUGCUACCUAUGAGGUUGGAGCCCAGGGUCAGUCCAUGUAUAGUCUUUGGGUAGUGGCUUAGUCCCUAGAAGUUCUGGUUGGUUGGCAUUGUUGCUCAUAAGGGGUCUCAAGCCCCUUCAAGCUCUUCCAGUCCUUUCUUCAGAGUCCAUUUUAAGAAAAGAUUGAGUCUUUGCUUCUGUUUCUUGAGAUGGUCUGGAAAGAACAGACUCAUUUGAUCCCACUGAGCCCAGCAAUAUCCAUCCGUUAUAUUUUCAAGAAUUUGAGCCCAUUAACUGCAGACCAGCAUCAAAGUCUUAGCGAGACCAUGGAGACAGGAAUAUAUCUCAAUGUAAUAAGGCCAUAUACAACAUGCCUUCAGCCAGCAUCAUGCUAUAUGGAGGGAAAAGCUCAAAGCAUAUCCCACAAGGAUAUCUGCUUUCUCCACUCCUGUUCCGUCUAGUGCUUGAAGUUUCGGCCGGAGAAGUAAGACAACAGAAGGUGAUAAAAGGGAUGCAAACAGGAAAGGAAGAAGUCAAAGCAUCCUUAUUUGCAGAUGUUAUAUACCUUAAAGACUACAGAAAACUUUGUCAGCUGACAAACCUGUUAAGCAAAAGAGUAGGUUACAAAAUUAACAUGCAAAAAUCAGUAGCCUUGUUGUAUACCCAGAACAUACACACUGAGGAAAAAAAAGUAAAAUAUCUUGGGAUAAACCUAAUGUGUGUGUGUGUGUGUGUGUGUGUGUGUGUGUGUGUGUGUGUGUGUGUGUGCGCCUGUGCCUGUGCCUGUGCCUGUAUGUGUGUGUGCACACAUGUGCCUUUCCUACUGAAUGGAGGUCAGUAGCAUCACCUCCAUUCCCCCAGCACCCCCCGACUCUCCUUCCUUCUGUUUGGAUCUCAUCUCAGGUGUCUGCACAGCUCACCCCUCAACACCCAUAGACCCUGCUCACACUCAGCUGACAGCUCACCCCUCACAGCGUUAGACUCCAGCUCACACUCAGUGUAGCCCCAAUCCUUUCUCAGGGUGAGCUUUUAAGCACAUAAAACCAUAUCCAGGCUUGGCACACUUCAGUUAACGAGAACAGUUAGUCAGAAGCAGAACUACAGGAGGCAAAAGGCAAGGUGAGCACAUUUAGAGACUUUCCCAGCACAGUGGGCUUUGAUGGGUGUUGGGUUUGGUUUGGUUUGGUUUGGUUUGGUUUGGUUUGGUUUGGUUUGGUUGUGGCAGGUGGUGCUGUGUCUGUGCUGAGUUUUUUUUUUUUUUUUUUUUUUUUUUUGGUUCUUUUUUUUCGGAGCUGGGGACCGAACCCAGGGCCUUGUGCUCGCUAGGUAAGCGCUCUGCCACUGAGCUAAAUCCCCAGCCCCCUGUGCUGAGUUUUACCACCUGAAUGGCGCUUCCAUUGUGGAGUCAGCUGUGCUAAGGUCUAGGGGCCUGUUCCAGUUUGACACCAUUUUAAUAUCAUACGAGUAAAGUCUCUCCUGGCACAGAGCUUUGUAACUUGCCUAGACUUUCCAGCUUCCUCUUUCAUUUUGGAAAAACGUCUAGCUGACAGCCAUCUUAAACUGCACAUACAGAUCCUUCUAUACUAACAAUAUUCCCAUCUUCACUUCCCUUUAACAUUGUCUUCCCACAGUUGCACAGGAAAAGGCCCUUCUUUUUAGCCUUCUCACAGUGCUGAGAUAUUUUCUGACAUGGGAUGGUUAGCAGUCCAAGAAUACUGCUCGCCAAAGACUGUGGGGUCUCCAUAACUCAUGGGUGUGUCUUCCCCCAAGGACACUGUCUUAGUCAGGGUUUCUAUUACUGUGACAAAACACCAUGACCAAAAGCAAGUUGGGGAUGAGAGGGUUUAUUUGGCUUACACUUCCAGAUCAUAAUCCAUCACUGGAGGAAGUCAGAAGAACUCCAGCAGGGCAGGAACCUGAAGGCAGGAGCUGAUACAGAGGCCAUGGAAGGGUGCUGCUUACUAACUUGCUCCUCAUGGCUUGCUCAGCCUGCUUUCUUAUAGAAACCAGGACCACCUGCUCAGGGAUGGCUCCACACACAUUGGGCGGGGCACCCCUAUCAAUCAGUAAUUAAAAAAAAAAAGCCUUAUGGCCUGAUUUUAUGGGGGCAUUUUUCUCAGCCUCCGCUGCUUUCUCUCUGAUGACUGUAGCUUGUGUCAGGUUGACAUGUGGAACCAUCCAGUACAGACACUCUCCCGGAUAGAGUAUGAAGUCCUGGAUGAGCCCCUAAAUUGUUGGAAAAUGUAGCUGGUGACUCUGUCUUACUCAUUUAGUGGAAAUUCAAAUCAUAGUUGGACUCAGUUGCUAAAAUAAUUGUCAUGCUGGGGAAGGGUGUGAUAGGGGGUCAACUCUGAGGAAUGUGCAGGGACUGGGCGAACAGGAGCAUGCAAAGGAAUGUCACAGACUGGGUGAUGAAAACCCUGUUACGUGGUAAAACGUCUCACAUGUAGAUUAAUAUUCCUAGCUGGCUGUGAUGGUGCAUGGCUUUGGUCCCAGCCUUCAGUUGGGAGGCAGGCAGAUCUCUGAGUUUGCGGCCUUCCUGGCCACAACUGAGUUCCUGGAACAGCCAGAACUAUACAGAGAAACCCUGUCUCACAAUCACCAAAAUAAAUAAGUUAAAUAAAUAAAAAAAUCCUGCAGACGAAUGAGCUGCCUCACUGGGUAAUGUUGCUUGCACUGUAAUCAUGGUGUAAGGGUCUGAAGAUCACUGAAGGAAGACGCCAGACUCAGACGAUGUGGAAAAGCAGAGAGCAUUUACUCUGCAGAAACAACCAGCAUGUGGGGGUCAACCAUUUUUGAAACGGCGACCCCAGACAAAGGUGUUCAGACCUUCUUAUAGGGAACUGGGAGAACUUUCUAGAAGGCUUAGGUAAUCUAAAAUUUCAUUGGUGGGUGCUAGGGGCUCACAGGUGGUCAGUGGUCUGCAUUCCUACGUCACGACCGUUUAAUGGUAGGAUGGGAUAGAGCUGCCCAGCGCAGAUGGCCCGUUCUGAGAUGAGAUAUUUCCCCAUUCUGUGGUCAUCCCCAGGCUGUUCUUUGGGAACGGGUUUUAUGAUCUUGUUCCUGGAUUUUAUGGUCUGCUCCUGGAGCUGGUGUCUAUGGCCCUCUUUUUGAAAUCAGGCCUGGUCCUUACAUGGAGACAAACAGUGUUUACGUUGUUCUUUCAGGAGCAACCCAAGUCCAUAGGGUUAAAAAGAAAAAGCCCACACCACAGUUACCUUCAGAUCUCCAUACACAUACAGUGCCUACCCCCAUCAACUACAACUAAAGUAUUAUUUUAAAUUCAUUUAUUUUCUUAGUGUGUAUGUAUAAUAAGAACGAGCUAGUGUGCUAAGGGGAAAGCCCCUGAAGCACAGGGGAGGAGCGCAGUGGUCUUUUAUAGAAUAUAUACAUAGUAGUCACCUUGCCAGAGUUUAUAUAUCCUAGGAACAUACAAAAGGAUAUCAUAGACCAGGUGAAGGGGGUUCUCUCUCUCUCUCUCUCUCUCUCUCUCUCUCUCUCUCUAGCUUACAUAUAUGACAGUAUGUAUGUCUGAUGUCCAUUGAGGCCAGAAGAGGACAUCAUAUCCCUCGGGACUGGAGUUACAGAUGACUGUGAGCUGCGGCGUGCAAAACUAGGUCGUUUUGAAGAGCGGCAAUGCUCUUAACUACCAAAUCAUCUCUCCAGCUCCAAUCCAGACAUCUCUUGCCUUCUGUCAUGUGCUAACCUUGACGCAGACUUUUCAGCCUCUUCCCUCCUGCCGCAGGAGUUAGUGGGGCAGAGAUGCACAGGGAGACAGAGGGAAUCAGAAUGGAGGAUCGUGCAACGCUUGGUGGUGAGAAAAGUAGGAAAUGUGAGCAAGAGAGGAAAUCUGGACUACAUGAAGGACGCUGGACAUUCCCCAGGAGGAGGAAGAGCAGUUUCAGGAAGUUAAAGAUACCUUACAGGCGAUUCAGCUAGGCUCCUCCCACUCACCUAGCAACAGCUUAUGUCAUCACUUGCCCCCACCAGGUACAGGCUGUUUAUGAAAGGACUGCUUGCCGCCCCAGCUCUCUCUGUCUCUCUGUCUCUCUCUCUGUCUGUCUCUCUCUUUCUCUCUGUCUCUGUCUCUCUCUCUGUCUCUGUCUCUCUCUCCCUCCCCUUCCCUCCCCCCUUGUGUUCCUGGCAGAUCUUCCAGUCCUACCCCCUUUCUGUCCUGUCUCCCCCUCUUUCUCAGCCCUCACGGCUCUGCUUUCAGUCUAUAAGCCUGUCUGUGUGUCCUCCCUUCCCCCAAAUACUCCCCUGCCCCAGCAGAUCAGUUGCAUGGGGUGAUUUCUCAGGGGGACACCUUGGCAUGGGCCCACCAUGUACCCCCGGCCAAUUAUAUUUCAUAACAGGCAGUAAUGGGUGAAUGAAAAAAAUUAAGACAGGUCGGCUCCUGGGCAUGGACGAGGAGGUUUAUUGUAGAUAUGAGGGAAAACACAGCCAGAGGCAUCUGGAAGAGUCCGUACAGAAUGUACAGAACGUACAGAACAGAGCUGGACCAGCAGACUGAGGGGGAGAGUGAGAAAGGGAAAGAGGAACCAGGAAGCCAGAGGUCAGGAGUGACCCAGGAGACUAAGAGGACACAUAGCCAAAUGGCUGGGACAAGGGACAAGAAGCUCAGAGGAUAGAGAGGUUGAGGGUAGGGUGUAGGGUAAGAAGCACUGAGGGAGCCAAGACUGUAACAAGUGUUGGCUGAGCUGAGCCUGGCACCAGUGUCUGCUUUGAUGUGUGAAAAAGGCACUCUAGGAAGCCAUUGUCCUGAGUUUGAGACCCAGAGUCCCCGGCUUUUGUUAAGGAUAAAGGGGAGGCCUGGCGCAUUCUAUAACUACUUCCUGCUGACAUGGGGCUGGUGGGGAGGGUGCAGGAAGGCUGGUGUGGUGGCCCAAGGACAGGAAGAGAGGCCUGCAGGCUGGGAGACAUCUACUUCGCUAGCUGCUCAGAUUCUGUGGGACCACUUGGGGCUAGGGAAGUGGAGGCCAGCAUUGGUUCUGGAAUGUCCCUAGAGAUAGAGCCAAGAUUAUAACAUAGAGGUCACUAUCCCUCCCAGAAUUCCCCUAAUGUGAUUUCAAUAGGUCCUGCCAGCUCACCUUGGGACCUCUCCAUCUUUGUAGAUGGUAGACCCCAGCAUGCUGGGCUCCUGCAGACUAAAGCACUCUUUGCAUUUGCGUACCUGUGUGAGUCUGGGAUCAUUCUUCGUCAGAUCAUGGACCCUUACAAUGGUAUAGUGCGUGCUUUACUGGGCUAGAUGAAUAGCUUAUCCGAACUCCACUGAUUAGUAUUAAAACUCCUAGGGUGGGAAGUCUUAGUAUAACAAUAGCAGAGAGGGGAUGGGGGCAAAAAUCGGAAUCAUUUAAAAGCAUUUUUAGGCUUUAAUCCACUCUCUUACAACUUGCAUUGGCACAUCUUAAAAAACUUUUUUUAGACCCUCACAACUUAAGGUUUCAGGUCCUCAAACUUUUAUACCUUGCCUUUAUAUACCUUAGAACACUUUCGCAGACACUCAGAACUUACCGGGAGCUGUAAAAAGUUACAUUGAAACCAGUUUGAAGAAUUCAAAUUCAUUGGCUCAAAGUCAGCUGCGAAGGUAUAAACUGUGUGGUUUUCUCAGCAGAUGUCAGCUUGAGAAACAGUGAACAGAGAAGGUAGCUGCAGACUUGGGGAUGCACGGGUUGCUUAUUGCUGUUAGCAAAGCUACAGUUAGCCUAGCCCUCAAUGCCAUCAGAUACGUGAGACGUGUAAAUUACAGCAGGAAUAUAGUCCAAAUAGCCUAUCAAUUAAAAUGGCUCACAUGGACACGAUAGCUUCAUUGGGGACAGUGGUUGGUUUUGACUGUCAUACAGGAUAGCAUUAAAUAUUCAGCUACUCUCUACAUAGCAGAAUCAGUCCUUUUCUGUCAGACCCAGAAGGUCUGAGAGAUUUUCUUGGAGAGAAGGAACCUGGAAAAACUGACCUCAGUUUAACAAGGCACAGUAGGGCAGACACAACAGUUAAGGGUCUGGGAUCGUUCAGAGAGUUACCCAUCUGUCCAUUAAUACAUUUUAACGAAAAGAGACUUUUAUUCCUACACUAGUGCCAGGUCUACACCUGGGACUCUGGAUUUAAAAGCCACUUCAGGGGCUUUUUUUUUUUUGGUUCUUUUUUUUCCGGAGCUGGGGACCGAACCCAGGGCCUUGCGCUUCCUAGGUAAGCGCUCUACCACUGAGCUAAAUCCCCAGCCCCCACUUCAGGGGCUUUUAAAGGCAAAGUACACACAGUUACAUUCUGCCUCUAUACAAGCCGGAGGCCAGACCAGGCAAUUACAGUUCUUUUGAGCAUAGACAUUUUACACUUUUCAACAGAAAGUUAGCCAUCAGCCUAAUGUUAUCUACCACAAAGCCAAUAAUGUCCACAGUUUGGGCAGAGCCCUGGGCAGGUGAAGCAUGGGGUAGUUUCUCCCAGUGGUUAGUGUCACCACGGUUCAGAUAGAGUGGUCUUCUUUGGAGGUGACCUUAGGGGUGCCAUGAAGCACUUGCGAUCUUGACUCAUGGAUAGGCCAUUUUCAUUAGGCACUUUAAAUGCCACAUUCAGCAGAUUUCUGAGGAGUUUUUGAGUUUUAAUAAACUUUUUUUGCAUUUUAAUGAACUUUACAUGUUUCAGGCUUACCCUUGAGCGCAUACGCAGAAGUUGAAAUAAAUUACAUUUGUUCUUAUCAUGACUACAAGCCGAGUUCUGAGAACGUUAGUUUAUAAUUUAUAAUUUCAUUUAUAAGGAGACUGACUAUUAACCUGCGUGUCCUAAUUAUAGCUGAAAAGAAAUUAGAGUUCUUGAAUUGAAGCUAUUUUACUACCAGAAUAAAACUUUAAAUCAUAAAUAUACCUAACUCAAAGACUGGGGUGUUUAUAAAACCACACAUACAGUCCACAGAGAGAUUGGGAGCCUGACCUUCUUUUGGCCCUUCUAGGUGGGCCACCACAGGCUACCGCAGUGUUCUCGUAGGUCUCAGAUAUCUAAAUGGCUAAAGCUGAACAAAGUUAGCAGCAACAAAGAGGCCGGAUAUCCAACGUCAGGUGAGCUUCUGUUGUUCUGAAGAGACUUGGGUACAGAGGGCCGGUCCAUAGUGUUUGCCAAACUGCUUGGCCAUGGUCUCCCGGGAUCAUGAGAUAGGAGUAGCUCACUUCUGGGUGUUCCAGCUGUGGUCCUAGCUCUUUAGCCUCUCAUCUCCUCCCCGUACGUUAAAUCUUUCUGUUAUCCCUUCUAAUCCUAGUUCACUCUGUUUCUCAAGCCUCUGAUACCCUUCACCAUCGACAACACACAUCUCUGUUUCUCAGUGUGUCCACGGCCCUGGCCAUAUAUCCUAUCUCACAACCUUCUUAAACCUUCUUUUGAAAGCCAUGGUUUCAAUCGGAAGAUCCAACUAGGGAUGCCAGUCCCUGAUAGUGGUUGUCUGGUUGCCAUGAAAACCCAGCCAGAGGCAAGCAGCCCCACGCCAGGAGGUGACCUGGGCUGACUUUUCUUUUCUGACAAUCCUUACUUGUUUCUGCUUCUGGCAGCAUUUUCUGUCUUGGUUCUUUACACAGAUUUCCCAGGCCUAGUCCUCUGGGUCCCGAGUUGGUGUAUUCUAUUAGCUCAGGGGUGCAUCUCCCCAUAGUCCAAUACUUGAAGUGAAAACUACAAUUGGCAAAAUCACUAGAAGAAUCUUGGCGCGUACCCAACCGCUGACACUUGCAGACUCAGUGAAUUUUGAAAACAUUCAAGGACAGGCAUUUGGGUUUAACCUAUGACAUUAUUCUGAGGUAAAACUGACGUCCAGCAGACCUGUUAUUUAGCCAUUGUUCUUAAAAGAGGAAAGAAUUCCUGAACACAGCAAAGAAAAUCUCACCCACGCUGCUUUGAUUGACGACCAACAAUUGUUACAAUUGUUACAUACGUAACCAUCAUAGUCCCUCGGUGUUGUUUACUCAAUGUUGUUGUUGUUCAGGUCUCCUAUCCAGGAACAUUAUCACAAGGUAAAAGAGAAUUGCAUACGUCCCCUUUUCCAUUUGUUUAUUUCCCUGCAAUAUAAAUGCAUUUAAGUACUGCUUUAAUAUUCUAGUUAUCAAAUGUAUGUUGCUUCUAAAUCCUAAUUUUUAAAUAAACCUUGUUUUAAUGA